rnacentral:rRNA from 1 species
UUCGCAAUGCCCGAAAGGGUGACGAAGCGACGCCGCGUGCGGGAAGAAGGCCUUCGGGUUGUAAACCGCUGUCGGGAGUUAAGAAAUGCAAGGAUGUUAACAGCGUCCUUGCUUGACUAAGGCUCCGGAGGAAGCCACGGCUAACUCUGUGCCAGCAGCCGCGGUAAUACAGAGGCGGCAAGCGUUGUUCGGAAUUAUUGGGCGUAAAGAGCACGUAGGCGGCCGUGUAAGUCGGUUGUGAAAGCCUUCCGCUCAACGGAAGAACGGCAUCCGAUACUGCAUGGCUUGAGUGCGGGAGGGGAGAGUGGAACUUCUGGUGGAGCGGUGAAAUGCGUAGAUAUCAGAAGGAACACCGGCGGCGAAGGCGACUCUCUGGCCCGUAACUGACGCUGAGUGUGCGAAAGCUAGGGGAGCAAACGGGAUUAGAUACCCCGGUAGUCCUAGCCGUAAACGAUGGGCACUAAGUAGAGGGGUUUU